rnacentral:rRNA from 1 species
CGAGAAAAGCUUCUAGUGAGAAAACAGCGGCCCGUACCGCAAACCGACACAGGUAGUCGAGGAGAGAAUCCUAAGGUGAGCGAGAGAACUCUCGUUAAGGAACUCGGCAAAAUGACCCCGUAACUUCGGGAGAAGGGGUGCUGAUCAUACGAUCAGCCGCAGUGAAUAGGCCCAAGCGACUGUUUAUCAAAAACACAGGUCUCUGCAAAAUCGUAAGAUGAAGUAUAGGGGCUGACGCCUGCCCGGUGCUGGAAGGUUAAGAGGAGUGCUUAGCGCAAGCGAAGGUACGAAUUGAAGCCCCAGUAAACGGCGGCCGUAACUAUAACGGUCCUAAGGUAGCGAAAUUCCUUGUCGGGUAAGUUCCGACCCGCACGAAAGGCGUAACGAUUUGGGCACUGUCUCAACGAGAGACUCGGUGAAAUUUUAGUACCUGUGAAGAUGCAGGUUACCCGCGACAGGACGGAAAGACCCCAUGGAGCUUUACUGUAGUUUGAUAUUGAGUGUCUGUACCGCAUGUACAGGAUAGGUA